UACAGAGGGUGCAAGCGUUAAUCGGAAUUACUGGGCGUAAAGCGCGCGUAGGCGGUUAUUUAAGUCGGGUGUGAAAGCCCCGGGCUUAACCUGGGAAUUGCAUCCGAAACUACGGAUCUUGAAUACUCGAGAGGUUGGUAGAAUUCCUGGUGUAGGAGUGAAAUCCGGUAGAUAUCAGGAGGAACACCGGAGGCGAAGGCGGCCGGCUGGCGAUGUAUUGGACGCUGAGGAGCGAAAGCGUGGGGAGCAAACAGG
rnacentral:rRNA from 1 species